UACGUAGGGGGCUAGCGUUGUCCGGAUUUAUUGGGCGUAAAGAGCGUGUAGGCGGCCAGGCAGGUCUGGUGUGAAAACUCGAGGCUUAACCUCGAGAUGUCAUCGGAAACCAUCUGGCUAGAGUCCGGAAGAGGAGAGUGGAAUUCCUGGUGUAGCGGUGAAAUGCGCAGAUAUCAGGAAGAACACCAAUGGCGAAAGCAGCUCUCUGGGACGGUACUGACGCUGAGGAGCGAAAGCGUGGGGAGCGAACAGG
rnacentral:rRNA from 1 species